rnacentral:rRNA from 1 species
UACGGAAGGUCCAGGCGUUAUCCGGAUUUAUUGGGUUUAAAGGGAGCGUAGGCCGCCCCUUAAGCGUGUUGUGAAAUGCGGGUGCUCAACAUCCGACUUGCAGCGCGAACUGGGGGGCUUGAGUGCGCCGAAAGUAGGCGGAAUUCGUGGUGUAGCGGUGAAAUGCUUAGAUAUCACGAAGAACUCCGAUUGCGAAGGCAGCUUACUGUAGCGCAACUGACGCUGAUGCUCGAAAGCGUGGGUAUCGAACAGG